CCUACGGGGUGCAGCAGUGAGGAAUAUUGGUCAAUGGCCGAGAGGCUGAACCAGCCAAGUCGCGUGAGGGAAGACGGCCCUACGGGUUGUAAACCUCUUUUGUCGGGGAGCAAAGCGAGUCACGUGUGACUCAUUGAGAGUACCCGAAGAAAAAGCAUCGGCUAACUCCGUGCCAUCAGCCGCGGUAAUACGGAGGAUGCGGUCGUUGUCCGGAUUGAUUGGGUUAAAAGGGUGCGCAGGCGGAGGUGCAAGUCAGCGGUAAACUUGCGGGGCUCAACCCCGUACUGCCGUUGAAACUGCAUCCCUUGAGUGCGCGAGAAGUAUGCGGAAUGCGUGGUGUAGCGGUGAAAUGCAUAGAUAUCACGCAGAACUCCGAUUGCGAAGGCAGCAUACCGGCGCGCAACUGACGCUCAUGCACGAAAGCGUGGGUAUCGAACAGGAUUAGAUACCCCAGUAGUC
rnacentral:rRNA from 1 species